rnacentral:rRNA from 1 species
CGGCGUGCCUAAUACAUGCAAGUCGAGCGAAUUGAUGGGAGCUUGCUCCCUGAUAUUAGCGGCGGACGGGUGAGUAACACGUGGGUAACCUGCCUGUAAGAUUGGGAUAACUCCGGGAAACCGGAGCUAAUACCGGAUAACAUGUUGAACCGCAUGGUUCAACAUUGAAAGAUGGCUUUUGCUAUCACUUACAGAUGGACCCGCGGCGCAUUAGCUAGUUGGUGAGGUAACGGCUCACCAAGGCGACGAUGCGUAGCCGACCUGAGAGGGUGAUCGGCCACGCUGGGACUGAGACACGGCCCAGACUCCUACGGGAGGCAGCAGUAGGGAAUCUUCCGCAAUGGACGAAAGUCUGACGGAGCAACGCCGCGUGAACGAUGAAGGCCUUCGGGUCGUAAAGUUCUGUUGUUAGGGAAGAACAAGUACCAGAGUAACUGCUGGUACCUUGACGGUACCUAACCAGAAAGCCACGGCUAACUACGUGCCAGCAGCCGCGGUAAUACGUAGGUGGCAAGCGUUGUCCGGAAUUAUUGGGCGUAAAGCGCGCGCAGGUGGUUUCUUAAGUCUGAUGUGAAAGCCCACGGCUCAACCGUGGAGGGUCAUUGGAAACUGGGGAACUUGAGUGCAGAAGAGGAAAGUGGAAUUCCAAGUGUAGCGGUGAAAUGCGUAGAGAUUUGGAGGAACACCAGUGGCGAAGGCGACUUUCUGGUCUGUACUGA